rnacentral:rRNA from 1 species
GUCGAGCGAAUGGAUUAAGAGCUUGCUCUUAUGAAGUUAGCGGCGGACGGGUGAGUAACACGUGGGUAACCUGCCCAUAAGACUGGGAUAACUCCGGGAAACCGGGGCUAAUACCGGAUAACAUUUUGAACCGCAUGGUUCGAAAUUGAAAGGCGGCUUCGGCUGUCACUUAUGGAUGGACCCGCGUCGCAUUAGCUAGUUGGUGAGGUAACGGCUCACCAAGGCAACGAUGCGUAGCCGACCUGAGAGGGUGAUCGGCCACACUGGGACUGAGACACGGCCCAGACUCCUACGGGAGGCAGCAGUAGGGAAUCUUCCGCAAUGGACGAAAGUCUGACGGAGCAACGCCGCGUGAGUGAUGAAGGCUUUCGGGUCGUAAAACUCUGUUGUUAGGGAAGAACAAGUGCUAGUUGAAUAAGCUGGCACCUUGACGGUACCUAACCAGAAAGCCACGGCUAACUACGUGCCAGCAGCCGCGGUAAUACGUAGGUGGCAAGCGUUAUCCGGAAUUAUUGGGCGUAAAGCGCGCGCAGGUGGUUUCUUAAGUCUGAUGUGAAAGCCCACGGCUCAACCGUGGAGGGUCAUUGGAAACUGGGAGACUUGAGUGCAGA